rnacentral:miRNA from 1 species
CUCCCCUGAUGUACCUGAACAAGAGGAUUUCCUCACAUCAUUUCCUUGUGUCUGGACAUCAGGGGUAAC